rnacentral:rRNA from 1 species
CCCCUAGAGGAGCCUGUUCUAUAAUCGAUAAUCCACGAUCUACCUCACCAUCUCUUGCCAAUACCGCCUAUAUACCGCCGUCACCAGCCUACCCUAUGAAGGAUAUAAAAGUAGGCAAAAUCGCACAACAGCUAACAAGUCAGGUCAAGGUGUAGCUUACUGAGAUGGAAGAAAUGGGCUACAUUUUCUAAACUAGAAAUCAUUUCACGGAAAGAACUAUGAAACAAGUUCUAUAAGCAGGAUUUAGCAGUAAAUAGGGAUCAGAAUGCCCAAUUUAAGCCGGUCCUAAGGUACGC